rnacentral:pre_miRNA from 1 species
GUGACCUAUCAUGGCUCUCACCGCCUCCUUGUCGCCAUGCGUGGUAUGAAGCUUUUCGUAUGGCACAUUGAGACGGAGAAAGCCAAUAGAUUCACG